rnacentral:tRNA from 5 species
GGAGAGGUACCGAAGCGGUCACAACGGCGCUGACUCGAAAUCAGAUGGGCGGAAACGCCACGGGGGUUCGAAUCCCUCCCUCUCCGCCA